AGCGUACACGGUGGAUGCCCUGGCAGUCAGAGGCGAUGAAGGACGUGCUAAUCUGCGAAAAGCGUCGGUAAGGUGAUAUGAACCGUUAUAGCCGGCGAUGUCCGAAUGGGGAAACCCAGUGCAAUUCGUUGCACUAUCGUUAACUGAAUACAUAGGUUAACGAGGCGAACCGGGGGAACUGAAACAUCUAAGUACCCCGAGGAAAAGAAAUCAACCGAGAUUCCCCCAGUAGCGGCGAGCGAACGGGGAGCAGCCCAGAGUCUGAAUCAGCUUGUGUGUUAGUGGAACGGUCUGGAAAGUCCGACGGUACAGGGUGAUAGUCCCGUACACCAAAAUACACAGGUUGUGAACUCGAAGAGUAGGGCGGGACACGUGGUAUCCUGUCUGAAUAUGGGGGGACCAUCCUCCAAGGCUAAAUACUCCUGACUGACCGAUAGUGAACCAGUACCGUGAGGGAAAGGCGAAAAGAACCCCGGCGAGGGGAGUGAAAAAGAACCUGAAACCGUGUACGUACAAGCAGUGGGAGCACCUUUAUGGUGUGACUGCGUACCUUUUGUAUAAUGGGUCAGCGACUUAUAUUCUGUAGCAAGGUUAACCGUAUAGGGGAGCCGCAGGGAAACCGAGUCUUAACUGGGCGUUAAGUUGCAGGGUAUAGACCCGAAACCCGGUGAUCUAGCCAUGGGCAGGUUGAAGGUUGGGUAACACUAACUGGAGGACCGAACCGACUAAUGUUGAAAAAUUAGCGGAUGACUUGUGGCUGGGGGUGAAAGGCCAAUCAAACCGGGAGAUAGCUGGUUCUCCCCGAAAGCUAUUUAGGUAGCGCCUCGUGAACUCAUCUUCGGGGGUAGAGCACUGUUUCGGCUAGGGGGUCAUCCCGACUUACCAACCCGAUGCAAACUACGAAUACCGAAGAAUGUUAUCACGGGAGACACACGGCGGGUGCUAACGUCCGUCGUGAAGAGGGAAACAACCCAGACCGCCAGCUAAGGUCCCAAAGUCAUGGUUAAGUGGGAAACGAUGUGGGAAGGCACAGACAGCCAGGAUGUUGGCUUAGAAGCAGCCAUCAUUUAAAGAAAGCGUAAUAGCUCACUGGUCGAGUCGGCCUGCGCGGAAGAUGUAACGGGGCUAAACCAUGCACCGAAGCUGCGGCAGCGACGCUUAUGCGUUGUUGGGUAGGGGAGCGUUCUGUAAGCCUGCGAAGGUGGCCUGUGAGGGCUGCUGGAGGUAUCAGAAGUGCGAAUGCUGACAUAAGUAACGAUAAAGCGGGUGAAAAGCCCGCUCGCCGGAAGACCAAGGGUUCCUGUCCAACGUUAAUCGGGGCAGGGUGAGUCGACCCCUAAGGCGAGGCCGAAAGGCGUAGUCGAUGGGAAACAGGUUAAUAUUCCUGUACUUGGUGUUACUGCGAAGGGGGGACGGAGAAGGCUAUGUUAGCCGGGCGACGGUUGUCCCGGUUUAAGCAUGUAGGCGGAGGUUCCAGGUAAAUCCGGUACCUUUUAACGCUGAGGUGUGAUGACGAGGCACUACGGUGCUGAAGUAACAAAUGCCCUGCUUCCAGGAAAAGCCUCUAAGCAUCAGGUAACAUUAAAUCGUACCCCAAACCGACACAGGUGGUCAGGUAGAGAAUACCAAGGCGCUUGAGAGAACUCGGGUGAAGGAACUAGGCAAAAUGGUGCCGUAACUUCGGGAGAAGGCACGCUGGUGUGUAGGUGAAGUCCCUGCGGAUGGAGCUGAGACCAGUCGAAGAUACCAGCUGGCUGCAACUGUUUAUUAAAAACACAGCACUGUGCAAACACGAAAGUGGACGUAUACGGUGUGACGCCUGCCCGGUGCCGGAAGGUUAAUUGAUGGGGUUAUCCGUAAGGAGAAGCUCUUGAUCGAAGCCCCGGUAAACGGCGGCCGUAACUAUAACGGUCCUAAGGUAGCGAAAUUCCUUGUCGGGUAAGUUCCGACCUGCACGAAUGGCGUAAUGAUGGCCAGGCUGUCUCCACCCGAGACUCAGUGAAAUUGAACUCGCUGUGAAGAUGCAGUGUACCCGCGGCAAGACGGAAAGACCCCGUGAACCUUUACUAUAGCUUGACACUGAACAUUGAGCCUUGAUGUGUAGGAUAGGUGGGAGGCUUUGAAGCGUGGACGCCAGUCUGCGUGGAGCCAACCUUGAAAUACCACCCUUUAAUGUUUGAUGUUCUAACGUUGGCCCCUGACCGGGGUUGCGGACAGUGUCUGGUGGGUAGUUUGACUGGGGCGGUCUCCUCCCAAAGAGAUYUGGCAAGUGUUGCGCGGCGAUUACACUGCUGUGGCGGCAUACUCUUUUCUCGUCUUUAAUUUACUAUGUGCCCCCUGUUUUGCUGCUAUCGGUGCGAUCCACCGUGAAAUGGGGGACAGCAAGUGGACGUGGUUAGCCAUUGGCUAUCAAUGCGGCUUGGCAUACUGCGCCAGCUUGUUGGUCUACCAAUUCGGGCACGUCGUCUUUGAAGGCGGACACCUCACGCUGGGUGUUUUCGCGGCAAUCCUCAUUGCUGGGCUAUUGGUAUUUGCUCUGUUGAAGAAACCAUUCCGAGGGAGUGCACCCUUGGUCCAAGUCGUAGGAGGCGAAAAAUGAUUGCUACAAUAAUUCUAAGCGGCCUGAUUUUUGGCUAU
rnacentral:rRNA from 1 species